GCUUACGGCCACACCGCUCUGGGAGCGCCCGAUCUCGUCCGAUCUCGGAAGCUAAGCAGUGCAGGGCCUGGUUAGUACUUGGACGGGUGACUGCCUGGGAAUACCCGGUGCUGUAAGCC